UCUAAGGAUAAUUUCGGAAACCUGCACUUUAUCGUAAACUUUGUUUAGUUUUGAGAGGUCUACUCUCAGAGCUAAAUGGGCCUAUAGCUCAGCUGGUUAGAGCGCACGCCUGAUAAGCGUGAGGUCGGUGGUUCGAGUCCACUUAGGCCCAUUAUAUGGGGCUUUAGCUCAGCUGGGAGAGCGCCUGCUUUGCACGCAGGAGGUCAACGGUUCGAUCCCGUUAAGCUCCAUUGAUAACAUUACUUAUCAAACUUGUUCUUUGAAAACUAGAUAAUAUCUUUUAUUUCUUUGUUAAUUAAAAUAACCGAGAACACCGCGUUUUAAAGAGUUUAAAACAUUAAUGUUUAAUCGCUAAACUCAUAACCAUUAUCGUAAGAUAAUAU
rnacentral:tRNA from 1 species